rnacentral:rRNA from 1 species
GAUUAAGGUCUCCGUAGGUGAACCUGCGGAAGGAUCAUUACCGAGUGAGGGCCCUCUGGGUCCAACCUCCCACCCGUGUCUAUCGUACCUUGUUGCUUCGGCGGGCCCGCCGUUUCGACGGCCGCCGGGGAGGCCUCGCGCCCCCGGGCCCGCGCCCGCCGAAGACCCCAACAUGAACGCUGUUCUGAAAGUAUGCAGUCUGAGUUGAUUAUCAUAAUCAGUUAAAACUUUCAACAACGGAUCUCCUGGUUCCGGCAUCGAUGAAGAACGCAGCGAAAUGCGAUAAGUAAUGUGAAUUGCAGAAUUCAGUGAAUCAUCGAGUCUUUGAACGCACAUUGCGCCCCCUGGUAUUCCGGGGGGCAUGCCUGUCCGAGCGUCAUUGCUGCCCUCAAGCACGGCUUGUGUGUUGGGCCCCGUCCCCUCCCCCGGGGACGGGCCCGAAAGGCAGCGGCGGCACCGCGUCCGAUCCUCGAGCGUAUGGGGCUUUGUCACCCGCUCUGUAGGCCCGGCCGGCGCCAGCCGACACCCAACUUUUAUUUCUAAGGUUGACCUCGGAUCAGGUAGGGAUACAAUC